ensembl:snoRNA
UUCCAAUGAUGAGCCUGCCAUGCUAAUACUGAUGCACCAGAGUUUGACUGUGUCUCACACUGGGUGUAAGUGUGUUCAACUAAACUUCUCACACUUGCAGUGUGCUCUGAGGAAA